rnacentral:rRNA from 1 species
UACGUAGGGUGCAAGCGUUGUCCGGAAUUAUUGGGCGUAAAGAGCUCGUAGGCGGCUUGUCGCGUCGACUGUGAAAACCCGCGGCUCAACUGCGGGCCUGCAGCCGAUACGGGCAGGCUAGAGUUCGGUAGGGGAGACUGGAAUUCCUGGUGUAGCGGUGGAAUGCGUAGAGAUCCGGAGGAAGACCGGUGGCGAAGGCGGUCUGCUGGGCAGUUUCUGACACUGAGGCGCGACAGCGUGGGGAGCAAACAGG